GUUUUUUGAAUUUUAUUUUUGUUUUUGUUUUCAUAGGGAAACAGGUAUGUGACACCUGAGCGACCUAGCCAGCACUCAAAUACAGGAAUUCUGCGUCAGACCUGUGACUCUCAGUACGCCAUAAUGCUGCCUUGUUGAGUAAUGAAUAUAUUGUCACUGCAUCGAGGGAGGUGUGACGUGGCAGGCAUCGCUGUCCCUUCCAGAAAGGCAGCGCCCUUCAUGUUGCAGAUGUGGUCAAAGAGGACAAGGACGUCCACAUGUGAUGUGGCAACAGGUCAGGGAAACACUUCAAAAAGAAAGCAACCUUAUCUGGCAAUUGCCUAUCUAAGUGAUACUACAAUGUACUUAUCUUGCAAUUAUAGUUUUAGACCUCUACCCAAAUAAAUACAAUGACAUUGCAAAACUUCC
rnacentral:lncRNA from 1 species